UACGAAGGGGGCUAGCGUUGUUCGGAAUUACUGGGCGUAAAGCGCACGUAGGCGGAUACUUAAGUCAGGGGUGAAAUCCCGGGGCUCAACCCCGGAACUGCCUUUGAUACUGGGUAUCUCGAGUCCGGAAGAGGUGAGUGGAAUUCCGAGUGUAGAGGUGAAAUUCGUAGAUAUUCGGAGGAACACCAGUGGCGAAGGCGGACUCACUGGCCGGUACUGACGCUGAGGUGCGAAAGCGUGGGGAGCAAACAGG
rnacentral:rRNA from 1 species